rnacentral:lncRNA from 1 species
CAAUGAUGUUUUCAAAUGCAUAAAGGGGUCCUAAGACCAAAAUGUUUAAGAACUGUUGCAUUAAGUCAUCCUGCCUGAUCUAGUACCAAUUUAGCAGAGAUACUAGAAAUACAGCAAAAUACAAGGGGUUGGUUCCCACUAAAUUCAAAACUAUGUGAGCUAAUCUGUCUGCAAAGGUUGGUAUCUAAAAGCAAAAUCAAAAGAACACAUAUAAAGAAGUGCUGCAGAACUGACAGGGUCAUGUCAAAAGGACAUAGGCACCAACUCAAAGGAGCUCACACCGGCCAGACAUCUGAUUUGUGUUUUUGUGAUUAGUCAGAAACACCAGCUUAUCUUUUUUUUUUUUUUUUU